rnacentral:rRNA from 1 species
UAAUGUCUGGGAAACUGCCUGAUGGAGGGGGAUAACUACUGGAAACGGUAGCUAAUACCGCAUAACGUCGCAAGACCAAAGAGGGGGACCUUCGGGCCUCUUGCCAUCAGAUGUGCCCAGGUGGGAUUAGCUAGUAGGUGGGGUAACGGCUCACCUAGGCGACGAUCCCUAGCUGGUCUGAGAGGAUGACCAGCCACACUGGAACUGAGACACGGCCCAGACUCCUACGGGAGGCAGCAUG